UACGGGGGGGGCAAGCGUUGUUCGGAAUUACUGGGCGUAAAGGGCUCGUAGGCGGCCAACUAAGUCAGACGUGAAAUCCCUCGGCUUAACCGGGGAACUGCGUCUGAUACUGGAUGGCUUGAGGUUGGGAGAGGGAUGCGGAAUUCCAGGUGUAGCGGUGAAAUGCUUAGAUAUGACAUAGAACACCAAUUGCGAGGGCAGCUCACUACACGAAUAUUGACACUGAGGCACGAAAGCGUGGGGAUCAAACAGG
rnacentral:rRNA from 1 species